CAGGUGGAGAUACAGAUGCUAGAUGCUGACAAGCUAACGUUUGAACACCAUUGCGGAGGUGCUGUCAUAGCGGAGAGGCUUGUUUUGUCUGCUGCACAUUGUUUUGAUAAGCAACCACUCCAAUUGGAUCAUAUCAGAUUACUGGUUGGAGAACAUCGUCUGAAGAUGCAGGAUAAGCACGAGAACAGAUUCUUAGCUGAGAAGGUUGUUCUGCAUCCCGAAUUUAGGAAAA
rnacentral:misc_RNA from 1 species